AGAGUUUGAUCCUGGCUCAGGAUGAACGCUAGCGGCAGGCUUAACACAUGCAAGUCGAGGGGUAUAGUUCUUCGGAACUAGAGACCGGCGCACGGGUGCGUAACGCGUAUGCAAUCUACCUUUUGCAGAGGGAUAGCCCAGAGAAAUUUGGAUUAAUACCUCAUAGUAUGUGAGAAUGGCAUCAUUUUCACAUUAAAGUCACAACGGCAAAAGAUGAGCAUGCGUCCCAUUAGCUAGUUGGUAAGGUAACGGCUUACCAAGGCAACGAUGGGUAGGGGUCCUGAGAGGGAGAUCCCCCACACUGGUACUGAGACACGGACCAGACUCCUACGGGAGGCAGCAGUGAGGAAUAUUGGACAAUGGGCGCAAGCCUGAUCCAGCCAUGCCGCGUGCAGGAUGACGGUCCUAUGGAUUGUAAACUGCUUUUGUACAGGAAGAAACACUGGUUCGUGAACCAGCUUGACGGUACUGUAAGAAUAAGGAUCGGCUAACUCCGUGCCAGCAGCCGCGGUAAUACGGAGGAUCCAAGCGUUAUCCGGAAUCAUUGGGUUUAAAGGGUCCGUAGGCGGUUUAGUAAGUCAGUGGUGAAAGCCCAUCGCUCAACGGUGGAACGGCCAUUGAUACUGCUAGACUUGAAUUAUUAGGAAGUAACUAGAAUAUGUAGUGUAGCGGUGAAAUGCUUAGAGAUUACAUGGAAUACCAAUUGCGAAGGCAGGUUACUACUAAUGGAUUGACGCUGAUGGACGAAAGCGUGGGUAGCGAACAGGAUUAGAUACCCUGGUAGUCCACGCCGUAAACGAUGGAUACUAGCU
rnacentral:rRNA from 1 species